rnacentral:rRNA from 1 species
UACGUAGGGACCAAGCGUUGUUCGGAUUUACUGGGCGUAAAGGGCGCGUAGGCGGCGUGUUAAGUCAGCUGUGAAAUCUCCGAGCUUAACUCGGAACGGUCAGCUGAUACUGAUGUGCUAGAGUGCAGAAGGGGCAAUCGGAAUUCUUGGUGUAGCGGUGAAAUGCGUAGAUAUCAAGAGGAACACCUGAGGUGAAGACGGGUUGCUGGGCCGACACUGACACUGAGAGACGAAAGCUAGGGGGAGCGAAUGGG